GACGAACGCUGGCGGCGUGCUUAACACAUGCAAGUCGAACGAUGAACCCGGAGCUUGCUCCGGUGGAUUAGUGGCGAACGGGUGAGUAACACGUGAGUAACCUGCCCUUGACUCUGGGAUAACUGCGGGAAACUGUAGCUAAUACCGGAUACGACCCUCGGCGGCAUCGCCAGGGGGUGGAAAGAAUUUCGGUCAAGGAUGGACUCGCGGCCUAUCAGCGAGUUGGUGUGGUAACGGCCCACCAAGGCGACGACGGGUAGCCGGCCUGAGAGGGUGGCCGGCCACACUGGGACUGAGACACGGCCCAGACUCCUCCGGGAGGCAGCAGGGGGGAAUAUUGCACAAUGGGCGCAAGCCUGAUGCAGCAACGCCGCGUGAGGGAUGACGGCCUUCGGGUUGUAAACCUCUUUUAGUAGGGAAGAAGCGAAAGUGACGGUACCUGCAGAAAAAGCACCGGCUAACUACGUGCCAGCCGCCGCAGUAA
rnacentral:rRNA from 1 species